UUCGCUCUGUUCCUACGAGUGCACGUGAUAAGAACAUCAAUUGGAAGCCAUGCAAAUGCCCGGUCCAACCGGGAGGUCAUGAGUGUGGAUAUUAUGUCAUGCGAUACAUGUAUGACAUCGUGACAAAAUAUUCAUCUGUUGAUAAUUUGGAUGGGGCAUUUGAAAGAGAU